rnacentral:rRNA from 1 species
AUUGAACGCUGGCGGCAGGCCUAACACAUGCAAGUCGAACGAGUGGCGGACGGGUGAGUAAUGUCUGGGAAACUGCCUGAUGGAGGGGGAUAACUACUGGAAACGGUAGCUAAUACCGCAUACCAUCGGAUGUUCCCAUAUGGGAUUAGCUAGUAGGUGGGGGAAAGGCUCACCUAGGCGACGAUCCCUAGCUGGUCUGAGAGGAUGACCAGCCACACUGGAACUGAGACACGGUCAAGACGCCUACGGGAGUCAGCAGGGGGGAAUAUUGCAAAAUGGGCGAAAGCCUGAUGCAGCCAUGCCGCGUGUAUGAAGAAGGCCUUCGGGUUUUAAAGUACUGUAAGCGGGGAGGCGUUACCCGCAGAAGAAGCACCGGCUAACUCCGUGCCAGCAGCCGCGGUAAUUC